UACGUAGGGUGCAAGCGUUGUCCGGAAUUAUUGGGCGUAAAGAGCUCGUAGGCGGCUUGUCGCGUCGGCUGUGAAAACCUAGGGCUCAACCCUGGGCUUGCAGCCGAUACGGGCAAGCUAGAAUUCGGUAGGGGAGACUGGAAUUCCUGGCGUAGCGGUGAAAUGCGCAGAUAUCAGGAGGAACACCGGUGGCGAAGGCGGGUCUCUGGGCCGAUAUUGACGCUGAGGAGCGAAAGCGUGGGGAGCGAACAGG
rnacentral:rRNA from 1 species